AGGUGUGAAUAAAAAUCAGAUUUCAUGAUCGACAACAACUCACUUCUGCGCGGCGAUAUAUUCGGCUCGAGUUUUACUUAGCUCUUCGCUGAUGGACUGUUUAGCUUGGAUUUCCGAUUGCAGGCUACUUUGCUGCAAAGUGGGACAGAAUAAUACAUGAAAAACGAGUCGAUACAUUCCAAGAGUGAAAUCGCGUUGAAAAAAAUGUGGUUCGAAAAAAGACAGCCCAGGUAUCAACGUUCGUGGGCUGACACCUGUUCCAGUUCGACGUCGAUAUUGUCUCUAAUAUUAACGUUUAUUUUAUUUUUAUUUUUUUUCAUUUAUAUAAUUGUUUUUUUCUUUUAUAAAAUUCAGCGUAAAGUUACGACGAGCAGCGUGAUUCAAUAAUACAUUAUGAGAAAUACGCAA